rnacentral:rRNA from 1 species
CAACGCUGGCGGCAGGCUUACACAUGCAGUCUAACGGGUGCAGCAAUGCAUCAGCUGGCUCACGGGUGAGUAACGCGUGGGAAUCUACCCAUCUCUACGGAACAACUCCGGGAAACUGGAGCUAAUACCGUAUACGUCCUUCGGGAGAAAGAUUUAUCGGAGAUGGAUGAGCCCGCGUUGGAUUAGCUAGUUGGUGUGCGUAAUGGCCUACCAAGGCAACGAUCCAUAGCUGGUCUGAGAGGAUGAUCAGCCACAUUGGGACUGAGACACGGCCCAAACUCCUACGGGAGGCAGCAGUGGGGAAUAUUGGACAAUGGGCGAAAGCCUGAUCCAGCCAUGCCGCGUGAGUGAUGAAGGCCCUAGGGUUGUAAAGCUCUUUCACCGGUGAAGAUAAUGACGGUAACCGGAGAAGAAGCCCCGGCUAACUUCGUGCCAGCAGCCGCGGUAAUACGAAUGGGGCUAGCGUUGUUCGGAAUUACUGGGCGUAAAGCGCACGUAGGCGGAUACUUAAGUUAGGGGUGAAAUCCCAGGGCUCAACCCUGGAACUGCCUUUAAUACUGGGUAUCUCGAGUCCGAAAGAGGUGAGUGGAAUUCCGAGUGUAGAGGUGAAAUUCGUAGAUAUUCGGACGAACACCA